rnacentral:snoRNA from 1 species
GCCGACAGCGAGGGUACAAUUGUACCCUCGUGGGGCUCGGACGAACCCGCACCCCAGACGUAUCGGGCUGGGUGAUGGGGUUGUGCUCACGCCGAGCCCACAGGGCCGGGAGCAUCCACCCGCGUGAGGGAAUGAACGCGGGCCUCUGUGCCCGGCCCACAGCAUUUCAACG